rnacentral:tRNA from 1 species
UGGCGGCUCGGCGGCGGGCGGCGCUGCCGGUGUCUGCGGCGCCGGCGGCGCCGGCGGUGCGGCGCCCGGCUGUGGCUGCGGCGCCAUGGCCGGCGGC